UACAGAGGGGGCAAGCGUUGUUCGGAAUACUGGGCGUAAAGGGCGCGUAGGCGGCCGCCUAAGUCAGACGUGAAAUCCCUCGGCUCAACCGGGGAACUGCGUCUGAUACUGGGUGGCUUGAAUCCGGGAGAGGGAUGUGGAAUUCCAGGUGUAGCGGUGAAAUGCGUAGAUAUCUGGAGGAACACCGGUGGCGAAGGCGGCAUCCUGGACCGGUAUUGACGCUGAGG
rnacentral:rRNA from 1 species